GGGCAGGGCUGAUGCUCACCGCCCACCCGCUGCUCCCCUCAGUACAGCCCCCAGCAGUGCCACCAGCGUGUGCUCCCGAUGACUCAGGACGCUUCAUUUUGUCUGUUUUUCUCCCUCCUGACGUCAGCAGGUCGCUCUGUUAGCAGGGAUACAACCCUUACAACCCCCCCACAAUCAGGCCGUGCAUAGUCAGAAUAACGCAGUGCAUCUAUAUGGUGCUUUGCUUGUGCCUUCGGUUCCUGCUGAAGAAGCGCCGUAUUCCCUCUGAAAUAGCUCCACACUAUUUCUGUUCUGUUCUGUUGAAUGUUUAUCCCGGCAACGCAAAUAAUUCCUGUUCCAUAAGUACCCUGACAAACAAUGCAAUUUAUUACCGGGUACAUUAUGUUGUCUGUCUGUUUGAUGUAAAUGGUCUCUGAGAGUUAAAAUUAGACAAAGAGCCAUUUGAGACUGUUUUGUUCAUCUCCAGCUGUUGUGUUGUUUUUAACAGGAGCGCGUUAGUUUGAAGCAUUUCAUGGGCAAAAUACCUGCUUGUUUUUUCGGUGAUAAAAAUGAUCCACCAAGAGAAGCAUUGGUGCGUUGGCGCUUUUAAGGUGAUGGAGGCUUUACAUGUGGUGCAAUGGGGUGGCCUUGCCUUGCUGGGGUGCUGUGCUCACACCCUGCCCUGGGAGGGCCAACCUUCUAAGAUCCUUCCUGAAGAGCAUUGGAAACAAGUGUGGGAAGGUGAGCAUGGCUCACAAAGCCCUUUGAGCUAAAGCUUCUGAGAGUAAAAUACGAGGCUCUGUAAUAACUUUAUAAACAAAUGUGCCUGCUGUGACACCGUGUUGCAGUGCAGGGACAGCCAGGGCACCUGGUGAUGGGGGCACUCAGACUGUGCUUGGACUCAAACCAUCACAGCAAACCAGGUGUAGUGGGAAUGCUGGGUCACAGCCAGAAGUGGUGAUGGAGCAGCUGGUGGGAAGGCUGGGCCAGCACAGGGGAGCUCAGGUGCAUGCAAUGCAUCGGAGUGAUUAGAAGGGGAGGGGCCAGGAUCCGUCCCUUCCCAGACUUCAUUUAAGGGUUAUCAGAGGUGGUUUCCUGUCUACCUGAGGCUUUCCAAGGGUAAGUAGCUUUUUUCCUUUAUUUCUCUGGUUGUUUUGGUUGUAUUUGGGUUGUUUUCAUUUUGUUCAGCCAUAAGCUUUGCCAUCUUGCUGUUAUCACAGUACUUUCCAUCCCGUUACACCAUUAUACCAGGGAAUUGAAAACCUUAACACUCUAAACACAUCUGUUUACCAAAUAUUGUUGGUUAUAUCUUUUUGAAAUGAUGUCUAUCACAAAGAACAGAGAAGGCACGUUUACAGCUGGUUCUUUGCUUAUAAACAAAGUCCUGUACUAAGUUGUAUUCUCUUCCAAGGGACUUUUGCUCAAUGUAGGACAAGCAGAUGGUAGCACCGAUGUGAGCAAGCACACGUUGGUGCUGUAUGGUGAGGAAAAGAUAUUUUCUCUGAAAAGACGUGUGAUAAAUAAACUAGGCUGGUGGCUGGGAACGCUAGAAAACAGCGUGUGGUUGCAGGAGGUGGCUCCAAAUGCAGCUCUUUGGGCUCCUGGGCCACUGGCUUAUGUGCAGCCUAGCUAAGCAGUUAACAAAAUCAAUUGGUUGCUUUUGUUUACAUGGUGUCCUGUGGUAAAUAGAUUGGUGAUCCUCGCUCUGAGUUCAUUUGCUAAAUAACCACAUCACAGAACUGAGCACUGCUGUUGGCAUCCUAGCUGGCAGGCCCAGAGCCCUGCCCGAGGCUUCAUUGGUGAUGAAGAGCCCUCACUGCUCAGAGCAGAAAGGCAAGAAUGGCCUCACAGGACAGGUUUUCUUGUUGCAUCUGUCCUGCAGGGAAGUAGGUCUCGCUCUUUGUCUUGACCUUUAAAACAUCCUUCCAAAUCACUGCGAUUGAAUAAAAGACAGAUCUUGAAAGCCUGGAAGGAAAGGAGAACUGACAGAUAAAAUCAGUCUUCUGGGUCUGCUAUUGAAAUUCACAGGACGUGGUAUGGUUCUGUAAGGAGGCCAUGGGAACAGCGUGUUGCUUGUGGGUAAGUGUGUGAGUGUCUGUCUCAUCUUUCCAGAUUUAUAUUCGUAUUAAGCACUGUUGCUUGUUACUACGUUCAUAUAGUAGCCUGUUGUAAUUGUUGUGGGAUUUGACAGAGCGCUCUUGGAGAAAUGAAUUGCUAGCACUAUUAAGUAAAUGUGAAAAGAAUUGCUCUCUUCCCAGCAGCUCUUUAAUUCCUAAAAUUAAAUUCCAUCCCUGAUGCGCUCAACUACCUUCAUGAUUAAUGUCUGAGUUGUCAGAGCAGCUUGUCGAGCACUUGGAGAUUGAGGGAAGUUGUGAAGUUUCUGAUUAAGUUUCCUUAUGCUUUGUAAUCUCACUCUUGCAGUUGUUGGUGUACCUGCUGCCCGAGCCAAAGACAAGGCGUGUGGAAGUUUGGAGGCACCUCCUCUUCACGGUGCUCACCUGUAACCCGGUCCUUCACAUUAAUGCCCUGAGCAGAGUGAUCUGUGGUCAGCCUGUUCUGCUGUGGAGACCAGCUUGGGAGCAGUAAAGGGAGCAUCAGACUCACUGUGCCGGCUCAGAUGAAAGGAUGAACAAGCCUGGGCUCUCCUGUCUCUGGCAGCGGCCAGAAAGGCUUCAGGAAAGCACAGAAGAACAAAACAAAUAUCAAGUAAUUAUUUCCCUUCUCCAUCCUUCUCGCAGAGUGAGUCUUCUCAGUUCUGGCACUUCUGCUAAGGUAAGGAAGAGUAACUUAAUGCAGUGGCAAGGACAGGAGGGAGGUGCUGCCUUUGAAGCUCCUGUAAGGCAUGGGCUCUGGACAAGGGCAGGUCAGGUUAGGUCUGCUCCAAAUGAUGGAAGCAAAGGAGUAACUCUUGAGGGGAAAGAAAAAAAAAUAGCUUUUCUAAGCUUUCUGUUUUAGUACAGACAUGCUUGCAAGCACCACUUUCUGCUUCAAAGAAGUUCCAAGUACCAAACACACCUGAGGAUCUUGCCAGUUUCAUAAGCCAAAUCAGCUGCAGAAUAACGAGGUCAGAAACAACUCAGACACCUGGGAACACUUAUGAAGUGCUCCAGACUAAUCGCUGUUGCUCAAAGUGUCCAAAGGUCUGCAAACAUUUGAACAAUGUGUGUGAGCCAGACAGGUGUGGCUUGAGCAGCUUAGAUGCCAAGAGAAACCCAUCAGGCCAGAAUCCCUCACCUGCUUCUUCAUUUGUUCAAGCCAGGAUCACCCCAGAGACAAUCCUGUGCAGGAAGGUGAUGGAUGUCACAGCUCUACUGCUCCCUGUCCCAAGCACCCUGCCCACCCAGGGAACAGCAUCUCCCAGCCUGUGCUCCUAACCCGAUCGUGCACAGGCAUGGGCUGCUUGUAGAAUGCUUGUUUCAUAGAAAAGCAGGGUAUGGCUGUUUUUGAGAACUGAAUGCUUUUAAAGUGCUGUUAAGAGACUGAAACUUGUGGUGCUCAGAAUCGUUGGCCCUUGUUGUGUAGGCACAUGUUUCUCCUUGGUUGGUUUGACUUCCCAGCUGGGCAUUCGAGCUGGGUGUUACAUCACUUUCUUAUGCUAUGAGUCAUAGCUUUGAGAGACCAUGGCUGUGUCUGCUGAAAAUGGAAGCCUGGAACAUUUGCAGAAGAAUAGAGGAAAUAAAAGUAUUGUGGAGGGGCUAACUAACCAUCACACACGCAGAAAGGAGCAGCAAAAGCCCAGAGGUGGAGUUUCUUAGCUGCAGAGAUAACAUAGCCCAGGGCUCCUUCGGGAUCUGUCUCUGGGAAUCAGCACAGUGCGGGUGCGUCAUUUAGGGGGAAAAGCAGGAAGCAAGCUGAAUUGAAAGCAACAGUGCUAGAAUCCAUCAUGGUACAUUUCAGCUGGUUCUCUUUUGCUUUGGGAAGGCAAGGUUUAGAGACGCCCAGGCUAGCGUACCCUUUGUUGUUUUUUGGUACCUGCUAUCCUGUGGGCAUAGAUAGUAGCAAUUACCUUUGCUUAAGACCAGAGUUUGAGCAGGUGGAGGAAAAAUAGCACCGUGCGGGCUGAACACAGCGGUGUCCUGAUGCAGCAGAGGGGUGGGACACGUGUGGGGCCACCACGCUCUGUUUAUUCAAAGAGUAAUUAACCAUUAAGCUUUGAACUCUUACCCAUGUGGCUAAGGCACAGUAAGGAUGCUCAGGAGUAGAGGUGAGCACCAAACCAGCUCCACCAUCAGGCUGUGGCUGUGGGGCUGUGGUUGGCUGACCCAGGGGAUGAGCUUUCAGUGGGCAUGUGAGCCAGCAGCUCUGCUUCUAUGAGCCUGCUUGUGAAGAGGAGUUCCUCCCUUGUGGGAAAUACCAACGAGAUUCUAAUUUUUUGAUGGUUUUGAUGCAGAGCCUUCUGCAAACCCAGAUGCAGAACAGUAGCAUUGUAAAUACUGUGCUGUUAUUACUGUUAGUAGUAUGUUUCCAGCAUUAUGAACAGCCCAUGCAAACCUUGCAUGAUGCUCUGCUUAAGCGGUGCCCCCUGCACAGAGAUGCUUGCUCCUGUGAUGCUGCAAUACACGGUGCUUUCUGCUGCAAAGGCAGCAUUUUGUGCUUGCCCUGAACUGGCAUUUUCAGGAAAGAACAUUUUCAGUUCUUGGCUGAAAGAAUUCGUCUUCCUUGGGAGCUGUGUGUGUUCAGUGAAUUAGUAGCAGAACAUUAGACCAGAACCAGGUCUUCUAAUUAAUUGGCUUCAGAAGUGUGGUUAUUAUCACUAACUGCAUUUUAUUUAACAGCUUGUGAACUGCAGGGGAGUUGAACAGCACUUGGGGAACUAAGUUAUUCCACGUGUAAGACUUCGGCUUUUACAACUGGUCCCUUGUAUUGCCACAUCCUGGAAUAGGGAGGUGAGGCAGCGCAGUGCCAGUGAGGACAGGAUGUCAGCAAGCAGAACAUAAGGAGUCUUGGUUUGGCUGCCAGUCCUCCCAAGUGGGGUCUGCCUACAAACUCGGUGGCCUGGGGCUGUAUGUUGUUCCUUAAAGCUCGUAUGUUUCAUGCAACAAAAACUCCAUUCACUCCCUUAGUUAGAGUUGGUAGCACUAAUCCUGGCUGUUUGAUUGGGUUUAUUGUGGCUAUUGGGAGCAUAAAUGUGUUUACAGAUUUGUUGUGAAAGCAGUUUGGUCUGUUUUUUCACACAGCAAGUCAACUUCCAUGCGGUGCAGUUAUGUUCAAGAUGUUCCCUGUAGCACUGGAAUAAUGUCAGAUUACAUUGUGUGUGUGUAUUGUUCUACAGAAGGAUUUCAUCUGAGGCACAAUACACCAUGUCAGAUGAAGGGGAUCUUGGGCAUGCUAAGACCAAGACAAGAACUCUGUGAGGUCAGUGUGAAGCAAUGCUUGUCUCUGCUGAAAUGUGGAACUUGUUCCCCGUUACCUUCCCUCCUGCUCCCUCUAACCCUGCCGGUACCAAGUCCAUUCAUUCAUCCGCAGGUUUCCCUGCUUGCUGUGCAGCCCACCACAACCUUCUGGUGCUGGAAGUUGGCCUCAAAUAUUGAGAUGUUGCAGAGUUUCUUAGAUUUCAUUCAGUUUGUCAUUCAGUGUAGCUCAGCCUACAGGCUUCCCAAGUCCUUGAUGCAGUUGUGCUCAGCAAGGAAUCUUCAAAAGCCUGAGUGUUAUUUCUUAAUGAUGUGAUGGGGAGCAGGUGAAGCAGGUGGCUGGCACAGGGCUCCUGUGGAUGUCUGAGCAUCUGCAUCACCUGCAUGUGCUCUUGCUGGGAUGAAGGACCACACUGUAUCUAUUGUGGAUGGGACUUGUAGGUACUGGAGCCCCAGUUUGACAUCAGGGUUCUAUCACAUAGUGUUGCCCCAGGGAUGAAGUGGCCCCUAAUGCUCAUUGUUGAACUGCUGUGGGCUGUGUUUUUGCUUAGGUAACAAUGCCAUUUCCUGCCUCGUGGCAGUUCAGAUAUUAAAGGUCACAUCUGCCUAAUACUUUCAGUCUGAACUAUGACAAGCUUUCCCAGCACUUCUAAAGCAGACAGCUGUGGUAUGUUUCCCUUCUGAAUGAUAUUCAGAAACCAAAGUUUUUAUUAUUAUUGUUGCUACUGCUAGUAAGUCUUGUACAGGGAUUACUCAGAACAGCAGCACAAUAGUUCUGCCCAAGGAAGGGAGAGGUCAGGAUCUUCGGGUGCCAUCACUGCAAGCCUGCAGCCUCCUAUUCUGCAUCUCAGCAGCAGGUUUUCUUGUUCUGAGUUGCACCAAAGAACAAUUUCCAGGAACAGCUCUCUGCUGCUGUCUGUCCUUAUGACACCUCGCUGCCUGUGAGGAUGCUGCAGUCCUCAGCUGAAGCUGGCAGCGUGGAUAACAGUGCAGGUGUUUGCAAACUAGAAAGCUGUAUGCUGUUGUUCCAGGGACUGGGGAGAUGCACUUUGUGUUGGUGCUCAGGUGAUGAUGGAGCAGGAGAAAGGACGCACAGACUGAGGCUAAGCAGAAAGAGAACCCGUAUGGUAACUGAUGCUAGAAAUAAAUGCAAGGGACCUUUGGCAGUUGAGCUUUGGGUGCCUCCAUGCAGAUUCACGGCAGCUGAGAAUCUGUCCCUGGGAUCUGCAAGAGGCACUAUGUGGCUGUGGCCAUGUAUGGAAGCUUCAGGUAAUCUUUAUAACUGGUUAGUCAAAGAACUUUGAAGCUUUGUGCAAAUAUUUGAGAGCAUUCCCAAGACAGCAAUAACCUCUGUGCUCGUGCUUAACCGGGUGAUAUUUGCCAGGCUUUCUGGAACAGCUUCAGGUACUUUUUCAGAACAAAAUCACCUUUAACAAGCACAAAACAUACUUUGUGCUCUUCAUGCAAGCCCAGUGCCCAGACCAUUUUACACAACUCUGGUUUUUGCUACGCUUGAACACCGUUAAAAGCCUGAAAGCUGAGCCGUUUUAAAGCAUCCCAUAAGACUCUUGAGUCAUGCAAAAUCCUAUCACAUUUUUCCCUCUGGUUGAAAAGUUAUGAAUGACAAAAGUGCUAUUAAAUCAUAGAUGAAGAAUGCUGAGUGAUGGCUUAGUAAAAAUAAUUUUUAAAAACCCUUGUUUUCAUCUAGAUUUUAUUUCCCUGGGUGCAAAUUCAACAGGUAAGGCUGAAAUAUCACAGCUUGCCCCCCUAAAGGAGCAGUGUGCAGCUUGAUCCCUUGGAGAGUCGCUAUUCCUUUCCUUGGUUUCUUUAUUCCUCCAGGCAAGUGAUGAUUUUAAUACUUCGCCUUUAUCUGUCACAGUUCAUUUUCCCACCCUAUACCAACUCAACUUCUCAGGCAGGAAUGUUGGGGAUGGUGGACCAGUGCUUUCAUCUGUUCCCGAGCCUCCUGCUGACAAAACUGCACCUCUGUGAUCCCACCCAACCAGCUUCUGGCCCAGCUGCCCAGCCAGGUAGGCAGGAGUGGGGGGAAGCAAUAUGGUGUCUCCUGUAUGCUUGCAUCUACCAGUGCUGCUGACCCAGUACCACAAGGAUAACUGUAUCACAGAAUCACAGAAUGACCCGGGUUGGAAGGGACCUCAAGGAUCAUGUAGUUCCAACCCCCUGCCUAGCAGGGCCACCAAAUAUACACCUUUACUAGAUCAGGUUGCCCAGGGCCCCGUCCAACCUGGUCUUGAAUAUUUACUAGAGUAAAGCUACCUGGAACUACCGCUCGGUUCUGGAGGUAAGUGCUGCACUUCCAUUCUGUUUUUCCAUGUUUACUUGUUAUUACAGUUUUAAUCAUUGGGAUGCUUCUCUUGUUAGUUUCUUUACCCUGAAACGCAGUGGUCCAACUUGCCAGAUGUUGCAUUCUUUGUUGACCAGGAGUUUCUGAAUGCCAAGGAAUCGGAUGGAAAUGAUCUGCAGGGGGUUUUGUUACCACAAGCCAUAAACACAUUGAAUCAGAAAGAGAAGCCUCACUUUCUAUUUCAGUCACCAUUUUUGGAGCACGUAAACAUUCUAUGAUUCAGAUUUCUGAUGAUUUCUCAUGCUGCAUUUUUUGGGUUCCACACUGGGUUCUUCUGUUUGUUUUUCCUUUUAAAGGGACUUCUGAAGGUGGAAAAUGAAUGGUGUUAACCUGAUGAGCUAGGUCUUGUCGGUACUGUAAGUAGGUCUGGCAGUGGAAAAGGCUUCUGGAGCAAGCAAAAAAUUGCUCUUAUUCAGCUAAAUACACUGAAAGCAGAAAGGGCUGUAGGGGAAGUGAACCUAGCAGCUAUCCAUGUAUUACUCAAACGAGACCACGUGCAUUCUGCUUUGUUUCUCAGCAGUCCCCACUGAGAAGGUUAUGUGUACAUCUUACUUCAACACUUGGACAUGACCUUUCCCACCCAUGUCAGACUCAUGUGGAGCAAGCCACAGGCCUGUCACAGAGCCCUGAGCCUCAUGUGCUUGUCCCAGCCACCAGGUGCUUUCUGAUAGACACGCAGAGGUCAAAUAAAUGAUAUCUCACUUUUGGACAGAAAGAGAGACCUGUCAUAAUGGUGCUGGGCUUAAAGACCUGCAGAGCAAAAGCUUUACUAAGCUGUAUGGCUGAGUUGUUUCCUUCUUGGUCAUCCAUGGAAAAAACCUAAUUGGAAGAUGAGAAGCUGCCCACUUUAGGAUCAUAUAUGAAUAAUUAUAGGUACCCGUACUAGCAAGGGACUUUCUGAGAUCAGUAAAUAGUUAUGCCUCUUCAGGGAAUCUGUGGCAAACAGGUCAUUCAGAAAUAACUCUUGGAGGCAAUGGGAAGUGGGUGAAAUGAAGUAACAAACAGCUACUGAAAAAAACAGCUGAUGGGAGUGUUUCAUCUGCUAUCACUAACUGUUAGUUUUCAUUCUGACCCUGUUGUUUUCUUCUUUAUAUAGUGCCCUGAAGUUGUCUCAGAAGGAUAUUAAUUUUCUGCUGGCAUCAGAAAGGUUGAAAUGAUACUUGGAAUGAGGGUAAGUGACUCCCUUGAGGUUUUGGCACCCACAGCUCUGGAUUAACUGGAAACGCAGGCAAUUAAUAAACCAGAAAUUCAGUGCCUCUCGGCCCUCCUUGCUCGAGGGAAGCCAACAGGACCUUUGUCGGUAGGAUCAGAACAAGGCCACAGUGUGCCCCUUAAGGGACGUGCAUGUAGGUAAGCUAUGCCAUCUAGAAUAAAUGCUGGCUCAUAAGAGUUCUGAUCAAGGUCUGAACUAGACUGAAGCAGAAACCACUGAAUGAGAACUGGGAUCCCCCACAGACAGGGAGGGGGCUUCAGCCACAAUGGCAGGGCUGCCACAGCCACGUGGUGCUGAGUGAAACUUCUCAGCAACCGGAAAACACGCUGGUUCUUGCUGUUGGAGAUGUAAGGCCAUCUGAGUUGGUAAUGUUGAAGACAUCAGAACUUAUUCCUUGUGAAGCCUGGGUGGUAACUGGUAGUGAAGGCCAUAACAGCCAUAGUCUUUGGUAUGAUGUAAACUCUGUGAAAUCUACCUGAUUCCAGCUCAUCUGGAAGUGAUAACAUCACUAAGUGCUGGGAUAGGGACUGAAAGCCACGUGCUGUAAGCCAGGCUGAUUCCCAGGGUCCUCUUAAAGUUUCCAUGCUGUUUGGGAGUAGGUCAUGAGGUCUGUGGCACUUGUCACCAUUACUUUACCUUUCUUUUUUGUGUUUGUGCAGAGGACCAUUUGCAAUGUGAAAUAGUGCUUGAAGUUGCCAAAAAAAGCCUACCAAACACCCUGUUACUUGGAUGAAAGAGCUCUUUAGAAGAUGGACAAACAGACUCGGGGGGGCAAAAGAGUAAUGCCAACCAACUGCCACACAGGCACAUACGGGAGUCCCUGGCCCUGCGAAUUUGAGCAUUUUAAUCUUUUCUGGUGUCCCACGCCUGUCCUGUCACCUACUGUUGUUGCAGUUAAGUGCAUUCUUUAGCCAGGUCUUCUCCUAGUAUUUAGGGCAAUUGGAUUUACAGGAAGCAAGAAAAUACACUGAUAAACAGCAGCGUGCGUCUGGGGAUAAUGUCAGCACUACCACCAGAGUCUCGCUAUUCCCUUGGCGUUAUCAUUGCUGGAUCCUCUGCCCUUCCUUACACGUGGGCUUGAGGAGGUGGUUGUUUUGGCUGGAAUUAGAGAGGCACAGGUGGUAUCACCAGCUGUAAAUCGGAGGAGGCACUUCCUGAUUAUGACCACUGCCUACACAUAAGUAGCUGCCAAGAGAGGAGCUGGGAAGCAUAGAAGCCUUCUCCUUACUUGGAAAGAGGGCCUCAAGUGUAGGCAUAACAUAAUUACCCUCUUCUGUGUUGGGUUUUUUUUUUCCACUUAGAGGCUUUGGGGUUCUUUGUGGGCUCUUGGCUUCCCAGAAUGCUGUGAUAUGAAAAACCCUCAGCUGAGUUUGACAGAUGGGUAAACCAAAGCAUUGAGUACUUAAGCAUCUAACACUAGGGCACUCAAAUCCUCAUAAAGGCACUGGGAGCUCAGGAGACACACGCGCAGGAGGCAUUUGAGAGCCAGGACUUGAUCAAAGAUUCAGGUAUUUGUUCGACCGCAGCCAAAUGUCAUCUCCUUCAAGUGGUGAAUGAGCCCUUGAUCUCUGUGAGGUCAAGAUUUUUGCCUUCUGGCUGUAUAUGUUUGUGGUAAGAGACCUGUCCAAAGCUGCAGCGAGCGCUAAGGCUCGGGUGAGGAGUUUGGAUGCUGUUUUUGGAGAGCACUGCUGGCUGGCUGUAGACAGACUGCCACAGUCCUGCUCUCAUGUGGUAGCAGACACACAUGGGCAUAGCUGUAUUUUACUGUCAGGUUAAAGUGUUUUUUUUCCCCAGUUAUUGUCUAGUGCUCAUUUCUCUACCCAUUCACCUGUGCUGCUGGCCCUGACUUGCCUUGUCUGCAGGAAACUUGGGGUGUUGAGUCUCCUCAUCAACCCAUUGAUUGGGGUGAGCGUGCAGCCCCUUGCUGGCUCAUGGUCUCGCUUUCAGGGUAUUUCUUCCCUUUUAGCCCAAAGCGUCUUAAAUGUGGGUCCACUGAGCGUACAGAUGGGAGAGCAGGGAGUGAGGGAGAGGUGUCGCAGAAUCAACCCACCAACGUGUGCUGCUCACCCACGCACAUGGGGAGAGGGGGAGAUUAAAAGAUUAAAGUUACAAACUGAAAAGCGCCCCAGGCUACCGCUGAGAUCUGAGUGACUGCCUGCGAAGCCAAACUCCCACUCCGGAGGUGCCGUGCCACGCUCGCUGUCACUCACUCCGCACUUGCUUUCUCCUGCCAUCCCUUCCUGCCACUGGCUUUGCUAUUUUUACAGGCUGAAAAAUUAAGUCAUCCUCUGGUUGGGCCCUGAGCAUCUCCCGGUCGUCAUUGUGGGGCUCACGGGCGUAGUCUUCUGCUCCAUCAUUGCGCUCCUUUACUUCUAGGCCUUGAAGACUCCUCCAUCAUCUUUCUGCUUUGCCUCAUUUGCCCGUAUCACAGCCAGGUUUGGUUCAGAUACAGCUCAGGACUGGUGUGGGAGGGACAACCAUUUGCAGCAGUUAGGAUUUCGGCAGUGAGGAAGUUUGUAAGGUCUUCAGUGCUUUCUCGCCCCUAUGGAGAGGUGUGAAUCAGGACUUACUCUGCCAAGCUUACCAUUAAAUAUGUCCACAGUUUUAUACUCCUUCCUGACAUUUGCUAAGAUUUUCUCACUUUCUUUGCUUUCCGUUCAUUAGAACUGGGCCAAGACUGUGGCUUUAUGGCUGGAAGGCACAUAAGUAAAACUAAGGUCUGGGAGCUCCAGAAGAGUUCUUAGUGCUGUGCUUGUGUUGGUAGGUACGAUGCAAAAUGAAACAGGGUUAUUUUGAUUUGAUUGUAGCAGUUAAGCUGAGCCAAGGCGAUGAUUUCAUUCUCGGAGUAUUGAGCUCUAGAAGUAUUUCUUUAUCCCACUGUGUUAUCUGUGACUGUAUUUGAGUUUGGGGGUACCUGUUCUCACAAACAGGCUGUUUCUAAGGGGAAAGAAAGAAAAGAAAAAGGGUUGGCUCUGCAUUUGGAAAACGUUGAAACAGUUCAUUUUGACAUCUCCCAAGUUGUUCUUCCUCCCUGUGCUGUUCAGAUGGAGGUAUUCCUCAGAUGCCGGCUGAGAUUGUGAAUGUGUUUGGUUCCCUUAGGGUUCCUUAUUUAAUCUGGUUUCUCAGCUAUCAGCUAUGCUGCCCAGCUCUGCCAUUGUGUGGAGGUGACAAAGGAGCAGCGGGACCUUCGCCCUCCUGCAUGAACUGGUGCUUGUUGCACAUGAGAUGGUGGGACAGUCCUGCUCCUAGCUUGAUUUUAGGGCUGAGGACAGUGGGAAACCUGCAGAUCAGGACACGUUUGGGUGAUUCGUACCUGCCCUUAGAUACCAGCAUUUCUUCUGGUGUGACUGGUUUCUCUCAUCUGCUGCCAAUGGUCUUGUCAGGGCAAACGUGCUGAGCUGAUGGGGUGCCCUGGUAGGGGCAGCUGCGAGUAGAGCUUUACAACCCUGCUGCCAGAAUUAAUAAGAAAUUGGAUGCUGGCCCGUGAAACAGGAAUGCAACUACUGAUGUGAAGGAGUCAGUUUCCCUUUCUGCCCCAAGGAAAAACUGACUGUAUGUAGACAUACAAGGACUUGGCUAUGUGAACAUAAAUUUAUGUGCAGUUACUGGAAAUGGCUUCUGUCCACCUCCCUUCUUGUGCCAGAUCAGCACUGUGUCAGGCAGGUCACUUUUGCAUCAGGAUCAUCAGCCUGCUGGGAGGGAGCUUCACCAUCUGAGUGCUCACUGUCUCAUACUCUCUCCAGCAGCUCACCCAGCCCUUUGCCUUCAGGAGCUCGGACUGCUUGGGCCUGUGCCGCAGCAAGCUCUGUGCUUCCCAAGGGAUGCAUAGUUCUUGGUAAGCAUCUGACUGUAGCAGGCACGGCUAAGAUACCAUGUUGGGCACGAUUCAAUGGAGUCAUUUCCACAUUCGUUCCCCUUCUGAUGACAGCUCAAUGAGAAAUGUUUGCAAGGUCUUGCUUUAUGCACCGCAUGCUUGCACAGGUUUUGGUCUGUGAUGAAUCUGUGCCCUCCAAUGAAUUACAAGCGGUGUGCUAUUUUAUUUACAUAGGAUUAAUCUAAUUCAAAUGACUGGAUGAAAUCCUUUCAUCUUCAGGGCACAGGAGGUCAGAAUAUGAUGAUUUUAUACAGCUGCUCCAGGCCAUAAAAUCUGUUCAUUUGACAAUCAAUAGGAAGAUAUCACUCACAAUGUUGAUGAGGUAAUUUCCUCCUCUGCUCUCACCUUGUCUUCCUGGUUCACACUCUCCUGUCAAGGUGAGAAGUCCUGAAGUUCUGCUCUGGAGCACAACCUGCCCCCACUGACUGCUGCACACUGCUGCACACAUUUCUUAGUUCCCACCCCAGGUUUCUUCUGUCUCCAUUGCCCAUGAUCUCAGUUGUCACAUAUUAGAAUUCCUUUUACUUUGAAGCCACUCUCUGAUUUACAUGCUCCAAGCAUCCAAGUUCUCUUCUUAUUCUAACCGUGCGCUCAAUCACGUGGUGCCAAAAAAAACCCCAUUCUGGUUUAUAUUAGUUCUUUGCUGCAUUGCCCAACUUCAUAUAUGUACCGUAUAGGAGACAGCAGGCCUUCCAGGGCAUGGUCUGUGACAGGUCACCUACACUGUGUUGAAUACUGAGAGUAUUUAUUGUGCUUAAGAGUGAUUCUGGGCACUCCAGCAGCAGCUCAGCAAGUGCUUCAUUGAGGAAGUCAAGUCUAUCCUGAUUUCCAAAUGGAGAAGAGCAGGAGGUGAGAUAACCUGCGUGGUGUCAGCCUGCUGGCAGAGCAGGGCCAGGAACGGUGUGUGGCCACCUCUGGGCCUGGCCUUGCACUCCAGCCACAGCACCCUGCUCAAUAAUACACCAAAUAAAGAAGCACUUAUGUAAUGCAUUUUUGCCUUCUUGGUUAAUAGCAAACAGUUUGAGGGUUUUCCUUCCAG